GCUGGAAACGGUAGCUAAGUCUUUAUAUGCCGGGAGGUGAAAUAGUUCAGACUGCCUAAGGAUGAGCUCACGCCUGAUUAGCUUGUUGGUAAGGUAAUGGCUUACCAAGGCCACGAUCAGUAGCUGGUUUGAGAGAACGACCAGCCACACUGGGACUGAGACACGGCCCAGACUCCUCCGGGAGGCAGCAGUGAGGAAUUUUCCGCAAUGGGCGAAAGCCUGACGGAGCAAUACCGCGUGAGGGAUGAAGUAUCUUGGUAUGUAAACCUCUUUUCUCAAGAAAGAAGUUCUGACGGUACUUGAGGAAUAAGCAUCGGCUAACUCCGUGCCAGCAGCCGCGGUAAUACGGGGGAUGCAAGCGUUAUUCGGAAUUAUUGGGCGUAAAGCGCCUGUAGGUUGUUUAGUAAGUCCGUUGUUAAAUACUAGGGCUUAACCCUGGGAAAGCAAUAGAAACUACUAGACUUGAGUAUGGCAGGGGUAGAGGGAAUUUCUAGUGUAGCGGUGAAAUGCGUAGAUAUUAGAAAGAACACCGGCGGCGAAAGCGCUCUACUGGACCAUUACUGACACUGAGAGGCGAAAGCUAGGGUAGCAAAAGGGAUUAGAUACCCCUGUAGUCCUAGCCGUAAACGGUGGAUACUAGGUGUUGUGCAAAUUGUACAGUAUCUUAGCUAACGCGUUAAGUAUCCCGCCUGGGGAGUACGCUCGCAAGGGUGAAACUCAAAGGAAUUGACGGGG
rnacentral:rRNA from 1 species